GACGAACGCUGGCGGCGUGCUUAACACAUGCAAGUCGAACGGAAAGGCCCUGCUUUUGUGGGGUGCUCGAGUGGCGAACGGGUGAGUAACACGUGAGUAACCUGCCCUUGACUUUGGGAUAACUUCAGGAAACUGGGGCUAAUACCGGAUAGGAGCUCCUGCUGCAUGGUGGGGGUUGGAAAGUUUCGGCGGUUGGGGAUGGACUCGCGGCUUAUCAGCUUGUUGGUGGGGUAGUGGCUUACCAAGGCUUUGACGGGUAGCCGGCCUGAGAGGGUGACCGGCCACAUUGUGACUGAGAUACGGCCCAGACUCCUACGGGAGGCAGCAGUGGGGAUUAUUGCACAAUGGGCGGAAGCCUGAUGCAGCAACGCCGCGUGCGGGAUGACGGCCUUCGGGGUGUAAACCGCUUUCGCCUGUGACGAAGCGUGAGUGACGGUAAUGGGUAAAGAAGCACCGGCUAACUACGUG
rnacentral:rRNA from 1 species